rnacentral:rRNA from 1 species
UACGAACCGUCCAAACGUUACUCGGAAUCACUGGGCUUAAAGGGUGCGUAGGCUGCGCGGAGGUGGGAUGUGAAAUCCCCCGGCUCAACCGGGGAAUAGCGUCCCAAACCGCCGUGCUCGAGGGAGACAGAGGUGAGCGGAACUGAUGGUGGAGCGGUGAAAUGCGUUGAUAUCAUCAGGAACACCAGUGGCGAAGGCGGCUCACUGGGUCUUUCCUAACGCUGAGGCACGAAAGCUAGGGGAGCGAACGGGA